rnacentral:misc_RNA from 1 species
AAGUCGUAACAAGGUUUCCGUAGGUGAACCUGCGGAAGGAUCAUUAAUGAAACUUCAAGUCGGCUGUUCUGUGCUGGUGGCAACACAUGUGCACGUUCAGUCGCAAUCCACACACCUGUGCACUUUGACUCUGAGCACCGCCUGUAACACGGCAGAGGGUUUGAGAUGAAGGUCUUAACCUGGUACUCGAGUAGUUUACACACUCUGUAUGUAAUAGAAUGUAACUGUACAAUGUACAACCAUAAACAACUUUCAACAACGGAUCUCUUGGUUCUG